rnacentral:rRNA from 1 species
UACGUAGGAGGCGAGCGUUGUCCGGAAUUACUGGGCGUAAAGCGCGCGUAGGCGGCGCGAUACGACCGCUGUGAAAGCCCCCGGCUCAACUGGGGAGGGUCAGUGGUAACGGUCGUGCUCCAUGAGUGCAGGAGAGGGACGUGGAACUCCGGGAGUAGCGGUGAAAUGCGUAGAGACCCGGAGGAACACCAGUGGCGAAGGCGGCGUCCUGGCCUGCGACUGACGCUGAGGCGCGAAAGCUAGGGGAGCGAACGGG